UACGUAGGGGGCAAGCGUUGUCCGGAUUUAUUGGGCGUAAAGAGCGUGUAGGCGGCCAUGCAGGUCCGUUGUGAAAACUCGAGGCUCAACCUCGGGCUUGCAGUGGGUACUGGCAGACUAGAGUGCGGUAGGGGUGACUGGAAUUCCUGGUGUAGCGGUGGAAUGCGCAGAUAUCAGGAGGAACACCGAUGGCGAAGGCAGGUCACUGGGCCGCAACUGACGCUGAGGAGCGAAAGCAUGGGGAGCGAACAGG
rnacentral:rRNA from 1 species